GUGAACGCUGGGGCGUGCUUGACACAUGCAAGUCGAACGGUAUGUGGCAACACAUAGAGUGGCGAACGGGUGAGUAACACGUGGGAACGUAUCUUUUGCAGGGGGAUAACUGACCGAAAGGACAGCUAAUACCGCAUAAGUCCGAGAGGAGAAAGGUGCAAAAGCAUCGGCAGAAGAGCGGCCGCGGUCCAUCAGCUAGUUGGUGAGGUAAGGGCUUACCAAGGCGACGACGGAUAGCCGGCGUGAGAGCGUGGCCGGCCACAAGGACACUGAGAUACGGGUCCUACUCCUACGGGAGGCAGCAGUGCGGAAUUUUGGGCAAUGGGGGAGACCCUGACCCAGCGACGCCGCGUGAGGGACGAAGGCCCUUGGGUCGUAAACCUCUUUUGCAGGGGAAGAAGAAGAUGACGGUACCUUGCGAACAAGUCCCGGCUAACUACGUG
rnacentral:rRNA from 1 species